ensembl:lncRNA
GUAAAAGUCCUCAGCAGUCGCUGGUGCCGUGGAACUGUUUUCUCUGUGUAUAAACAAGUUAUGUGGCUAAAUACAAAGAUUAAACUUCAAUCGCACUUCCUCAAAAACUCCAACAAUCAACUCGUAUCUUCAUCAGCGGGCAGUGGACUUUGGGUGCAUAAGACAGAUGGCUGCACAGUGGAGGUGGAAGCUAAUUGCUCAGCUAUUCGGCAAUUCCAGAACAAGGAGCCAUCCACUUCGACCAGGUGCGGGUGGGACUCAACUUUUUGUACAGAAGUUCCACAUUUCCGCACACCUGUGUGAUCUCCUGACAGUGGUUUUGUCCUCGCUGCAUCUCCAGUAACGAGGUCUGCCUUGAGGCCAUCUGCUGACCAAAUGUAAACAUGGAAAUGGACUGCUGAUACUUGACAGCGAGCCUGAGUUUGACCUCUUUGCAGCUGUUCAUGACACCAAGCGGCUUUGCGCUUUGGUCAUGGCCUACUUCCAGCUGUGAAUCACCACACCUGACAACAAGGAUGUAAUCCAUGUUAGGCUCUACACCAUUGAGCUGGCCAAUAGCUCAUGCUGCUUCUACUGGUAUACAUCUGAGGGAACGGAGAUGCUAGACGACUGCUUUCUUCAUCAAAUCUGCACUGAAGAGAUCUCUGGCAUCCUCCAAUGUGAAGGCAUUGUCUUUGGGAAGUUUAGCACGUUUUCAAGAGUGAGCAUAAUGUAAUGUGACUGGUAAAGGGCCUUAUUGAGAUGCUUUGAGUCAUUGAAAAGUCAGGGUUUUUUCUGGUUUCUUUACAAUGACCAUACCACUGAUCCGCUUGGAAGGCUAUGUCACUGGAGCUAUAUGGUCAUCUGCAUGAUACUGAUCGAGCUGCACUUUGACAGCAGUCUUCAAGGCCAUUGGGACAUUCUAGGGGCGCACUGCACUGACUUUACAAAUUCAUCCAAACAAGGUACACGUUGACAGGGACUGACUGAAUUGUAUAGUCAGGACCAUCUCUUUACUGAAUGGUGAUGAGCCAUUGUGGCAGUAUCUAACCAAAGCAUUCAAACUGGCUGGGACUGUGAACUGAAUGAGGCGAAGUUCUUGCAUGUGGACCCGUGAAAACUCCCAAGUAUAUGCAUUUUGCCAGGCACAUUACAUGCUUUUGUAAGGACUCCAAGUGAAGACAUGAG